CAGCAGCCGCGGUAAUACGAAGGGGGCUAGCGUUGUUCGGAAUUACUGGGCGUAAAGCGCACGUAGGCGGAUCGAUCAGUCAGGGGUGAAAUCCCAGGGCUCAACCCUGGAACUGCCUUUGAUACUGUCGAUCUGGAGUAUGGAAGAGGUGAGUGGAAUUCCGAGUGUAGAGGUGAAAUUCGUAGAUAUUCGGAGGAACACCAGUGGCGAAGGCGACUCACUGGUCCAUUACUGACGCUGAGGUGCGAAAGCGUGGGGAGCAAACAGGAUUAGAUACCCCCGUAGUCCCUGUCUCUUAUAC
rnacentral:rRNA from 1 species